rnacentral:lncRNA from 1 species
UAUCCCCCCUAAAAGACCAAUAUGUCCCCCCCAAAUAAUUUAUAACCCUACGAGUUCGGUUUUAACCCCCCAAAAUACGAAUUUUCACCCCCUAAAAUUAAUUUAAAUCCCCCAAAUGCAGUUUUUAGCCCCCAAAUUACCUGUUUUUUUUUACAAAUAAUCAAAUUCUCAUGAAAAAAUUGAAUAAAAUCUAAUUUAAACAAAAAUUUUUCACGGAAUUGAUGAAACGAGGCAGACACAAGUUCUUUAUUUCAAAAGAUGACCAGAAGCGCUUUGUCAUCGCACCUGUAGCAGCUGUGGAGCCCUCAGUCCUCCAGCUCGGAGGACCGACCCCGCGCGUCUCUAUGGUUCCACGCCGGAAGUAAACCGGAAGAGGGGAAGGGGGGGAGGCCGCACUUCCGCUUCCGGGCGGCGGCCUGGCCGGGGCGGCGGAGCCAUGG